GUCAAUUUUCAAGAUUUUUAAGUUCUCAUAGAUAUGUUUAAUCUAUAUUAUUUUGAAUAUUUAAACUUUACAAUUAGAGAUGAAAAUAAAUGUUUACACCAUCAAAAAGAUUUUUUAUACUAGAACACACUUGGACACUAUUUGAAGGUGUGCCUUACUUUCAUUGAUUAGGGCCUCACCUUUAUACAAACCAAACCCUUUAAUUAAAAAAUUAAAAGUUCAAAAAUAUUGAAAAGUAUAAGAAAAGAAUUAUUAUUUUUAUCUAUUUAAGGAAUCAGGCCGG
rnacentral:lncRNA from 1 species